rnacentral:tRNA from 1 species
AGCCGCUGCGGGUGGUUCGGGGGCGCCUGCCUGCUGAUCGCAGGCGGCGAGCAGGCUGAUCGCCCCGGUCAGCAGCAA